UGGGGAAUUUUGCACAAUGGGGGAAACCCUGAUGCAGCGACGCCGCGUGAUUUAGAAGGCCUUCGGGUUGUAACAAUCUUUUCUAUGGGAAGAAAAUGACAGUACCAUAGGAAUAAGGACCGGCUAAUUACGUGCCAGCAGCCGCGGUACUACGUAAGGUCCGCGCGUUUUCCGGAAUCAUUGGGCGUAAAGGGUACGUAGGCGGGUAAGCAAGUUAGAAGUGAAAUCCUAUAGCUCAACUAUAGUAAGCUUUUAAAACUGCUCAUCUUGAGGUAUGGAAGGGAAAGUGGAAUUCCUAGUGUAGCGGUGAAAUGCGCAGAUAUUAGGAGGAAUACCGGUGGCGAAGGCGACUUUCUGGCCAGAACCUGACGCUGAGGUACGAAAGCGUGGGUAGCAAACAGG
rnacentral:rRNA from 1 species